rnacentral:rRNA from 1 species
GGGUUGUGAGGUUAAGCGACUAAGCGUACACGGUGGAUGCCCUGGCAGUCAGAGGCGAUGAAGGGCGUGCUAAUCUGCGAUAAGCGCCGGUAAGGUGAUAUGAACCGUUAUAACCGGCGAUACCCGAAUGGGGAAACCCAGUGUGACUCGUCACACUAUCAUUAACUGAAUCCAUAGGUUAAUGAGGCGAACCGGGGGAACUGAAACAUCUAAGUACCCCGAGGAAAAGAAAUCAACCGAGAUUCCCCCAGUAGCGGCGAGCGAACGGGGAGGAGCCCAGAGCCUGAAUCAGCAUGUGUGUUAGUGGAAGCGUCUGGAAAGGCGCGCGAUACAGGGUGACAGCCCCGUACACAAAAGCGCAUGUGCUGUGAGCUCGAUGAGUAGGGCGGGACACGUGGUAUCCUGUCUGAAUAUGGGGGGACCAUCCUCCAAGGCUAAAUACUCCUGACUGACCGAUAGUGAACCAGUACCGUGAGGGAAAGGCGAAAAGAACCCCGGCGAGGGGAGUGAAAAAGAACCUGAAACCGUGUACGUACAAGCAGUGGGAGCACAGGUUUACCUGUGUGACUGCGUACCUUUUGUAUAAUGGGUCAGCGACUUAUAUUCUGUAGCAAGGUUAACCGAAUAGGGGAGCCGGAGGGAAACCGAGUCUUAAUUGGGCGUUAAGUUGCAGGGUAUAGACCCGAAACCCGGUGAUCUAGCCAUGGGCAGGUUGAAGGUUGGGUAACACUAACUGGAGGACCGAACCGACUAAUGUUGAAAAAUUAGCGGAUGACCUGUGGCUGGGGGUGAAAGGCCAAUCAAACCGGGAGAUAGCUGGUUCUCCCCGAAAGCUAUUUAGGUAGCGCCUCGUGAAUUCAUCUCCGGGGGUAGAGCACUGUUUCGGCUAGGGGGCCAUCCCGGCUUACCAACCCGAUGCAAACUGCGAAUACCGGAGAAUGUUAUCACGGGAGACACACGGCGGGUGCUAACGUCCGUCGUGAAGAGGGAAACAACCCAGACCGCCAGCUAAGGUCCCAAAGUCAUGGUUAAGUGGGAAACGAUGUGGGAAGGCCCAGACAGCCAGGAUGUUGGCUUAGAAGCAGCCAUCAUUUAAAGAAAGCGUAAUAGCUCACUGGUCGAGUCGGCCUGCGCGGAAGAUGUAACGGGGCUAAACCAUGCACCGAAGCUGCGGCAGCGACACUCAGGUGUUGUUGGGUAGGGGAGCGUUCUGUAAGCCUGUGAAGGUGGCCUGUGAGGGUUGCUGGAGGUAUCAGAAGUGCGAAUGCUGACAUAAGUAACGAUAAAGCGGGUGAAAAGCCCGCUCGCCGGAAGACCAAGGGUUCCUGUCCAACGUUAAUCGGGGCAGGGUGAGUCGACCCCUAAGGCGAGGCCGAAAGGCGUAGUCGAUGGGAAACGGGUUAAUAUUCCCGUACUUGGUGUUACUGCGAAGGGGGGACGGAGAAGGCUAUGUUGGCCGGGCGACGGUUGUCCCGGUUUAAGCGUGUAGGUGUGUGUUCCAGGUAAAUCCGGUUCACUUUAACACUGAGGCGUGACGACGAGGCACUACGGUGCUGAAGCAACAAAUGCCCUGCUUCCAGGAAAAGCCUCUAAGCAUCAGGUAACAUCAAAUCGUACCCCAAACCGACACAGGUGGUCAGGUAGAGAAUACCAAGGCGCUUGA